GAUGGUUGGAUGAAAAAUUUACUUUCUUUAUUUUAAAUUAAUAAUUUAAUUUUUUAGUUAAAAAGCUAAAAUUUUAUUAUAGGACGAGAAGACCCUAUAGAAUUUUAUUAAAAUUAUAUUAAUUACUUUAUUGAUAAUUAUUUUUAAUUAGUAUUUUUUUAAUUUUGUUGGGGUGACAGAAAAAAUAUAAUAACUUUUUCUAUUUAUAUCAUUUAUGUAUGAAUUUUUGAUCCUUUAUUAUGGAAAUAAGAUUAAAUUACCUUAGGGAUAACAGCGUUAUUAUUUUGGAGAGUUCAUAUUGAUAAAAUAGUUUGCCACCUCG
rnacentral:rRNA from 1 species